rnacentral:rRNA from 1 species
UACAGAGGUCUCAAGCGUUGUUCGGAUUCAUUGGGCGUAAAGGGUGCGUAGGCGGCGCGGUAAGUCGGGUGUGAAAUCUCGGGGCUUAACUCCGAAACUGCAUUCGAUACUGCCGUGCUUGAGGACUGGAGAGGAGACUGGAAUUUACGGUGUAGCGGUGAAAUGCGUAGAUAUCAGGAGGAACACCAAUGGCGAAGGCAGCUCGCUGGAACGGUACUGACGCUGAGGCACGAAGGUCAGGGGAGCAAACGGG